CUAUCAAUACCCCCAAAAACACUCAUGUAAUUAAACAAACCAUUUUCCCCCCUUAGUAUGGGCGACAGAAAAGGAUCGUUCAAAGCUAUAGAAAAAGUACCGCAAGGGAAUGCUGAAAAAGAAGUGAAACAACUCAGUAAAGUUUAAAAAAGCAGAGAUUUACACUCGUACCUUUUGCAUCAUGAUUUAGUCAGUAAAAACAAGCAAAAAGUACUUUAGUUUGUUUCCCCGAAACUAAGUGAGCUACUCCAAGACAGCCUAAAAUAGGGCCAACCCGUCUCUGUGGCAAAAGAGUGGGACGAGCUUCGAGUAGAGGUGAUAAACCUACCGAACUUAGUUAUAGCUGGUUGCCUGAGAAAUGAAUAGAAGUUCAGCUUUUUGGUUUCUCCCUCCAACCUGCCUAACUACAACCGAACCAGAUAAACCAAAAAAGUUAAUUAAAGGGGGUACAGCUCCUUUAAACAAGAUACAACUUCACCAGCCGGGUAAAGAUCAUACACAACUAGGGUAAAGUGUUUUAGUGGGCCUAAAAGCAGCCACCUAUCAGAAAGCGUCAAAGCUCCUUCAUACUACCACCCCUCAAAUUCCGAUGACAUAUCUAAACCCGCUAGUUCUAUCAAGCCGCCCCAUGCCGCCAUGGGGGUGAUUAUGCUAGAAUGAGUAAUAAGAAAAACCACCUUUUCUCCUUGCACUCGUGUAAAUCGAAACGGACCCCCCAUCGAACAUUAAUCGGCCCCAAAAAAAGAGGGUAAUGAAUUAUCAACCCCAAUAACAAGAAAAACACCCAAAUACUAACCGUUAACCUCACACCAGCGUGCUUACAAGGAAAGACUAAAAGAAAAAGAAGGAACUCGGCAAAUACAAGCCUCGCCUGUUUACCAAAAACAUCGCCUCUUGUGAACUAAGUAUAAGAGGUCC
rnacentral:rRNA from 1 species